AUAAUUGUGUGGAAACAGAAAAGAAAAAUUCAUCUCUCCCCAUCUUCGGCUCUGCGCAACAAUGACGAUUCAGUUUUGCCAUCACCGAAACAGUUGUAAAUAUACAGUGCGAUUCAACAAUAUUCCGGUGAUUCAACAAUAUUCCGGUGAUAUUCUUUAUGUUUGUUCGCUUUUCUAUUUUAGAUUAUUGUUUUCUCCUUAGAUUCUGCUCCUGGUAUUUUGUUUUUGCUAUGAAUCAAAUUUUGUUUUUGCAAGUGAGUAUCCGUGCUAGCCGACUCCCAAGGUUCCAGGCUAGGCUCGCCGCCGGGUCGAUGCUCUCUGCCUCCGGUUUUGAUGGGUCACGCAAUAAAUAAGCUCCUCAUCCAUCCGUCCACCUUCCAAGCGUUCCUCACCUACCCCAUACACUAUAUAUGAAGAUGAUCUCCUCCUAGGUGUACUUUGCAAUGUUGAUGGUCUAAUACCAAUAUCUCGAGAAGGAGAAUGAUGACGUGGAUAUCAAAAUUGGCAAAGGCUAUCUGCUUCGUGACAUACGGGCAUGAUGAAGCUGCAGCUGCCACGAUGUACCUAAAGGACACACUUAGUCACUUACUACUGAAGAGCAUCAGCAACUAAUCACCAGUCUCUCCAAAGAUAAAAGGAAGAAUUAUAGUGGAAUACACUUACGGUUAGAGAAGUUGGGAAAUAAGCCUGAAGAAAAUGCAACAAAAUAAGUAUCAAUGAGGAAACCAGUCAGAAACCACUACUCUUGGUUGUGUUGAAGUUAGCUUCUUUAUACGGAGAGAAAACGAUGUACACAAUCUAUAGAUCUACAUAUUCGACUUAUUAUUCCAAAGAAAACCAUAUGAAUCAAUGGAAUGACGUGAUCAUAGUCCAUAUUUGCCAUGUUCUGUGCGUUACGUUGGCUCUUCUUCCAGGCUCGGCUAUGCCCUUUUUAGAAGACAAAUGCAGGGGAUUGCAAAGCUGUUCUCUGUAAGAAGGUGAAGCAAUAGACAUGUCUCAAGACGACAGACCAAUCUACUUACCGGAAUAAAUAAGAUUGGAAGCAUCAUUGAUGACAGUUACUUAACUGGCAUUGUAUAAGUCACACAAGUUCUCGGCGAUUAGGACAUCACCGAGGGUCACAAUCUCCACUCAUAGCAUAGCCAGAGAUCAAACAUAUACAUUAACAGAGGAAGACGAGAUUAUGAUAAUGAGAUGUGACGGGAUUCUUGACGUUUUGACAAGUCAAGUAUCGUUGUCCAGAAAGAAAGGACAGAGCUUGCUUUAGGGGCUUCAAGGCUAAAUACGUUUAUUUUUGAUGUAAUGAAUGAUUUAAUAAUUUUAAAAUUAUAGAUUGUGAGUGGCA